rnacentral:rRNA from 1 species
UACGUAGGGUGCAAGCGUUGUCCGGAAUUAUUGGGCGUAAAGAGCUCGUAGGCGGCUCGUCGCGUCGGCUGUGAAAACCUGGGGCUCAACCCCGGGCCUGCAGCCGAUACGGGCGAGCUAGAAUUCGGUAGGGGAGACUGGAAUUCCUGGUGUAGCGGUGAAAUGCGCAGAUAUCAGGAGGAACACCAAUUGCGAAGGCAGCUCGCUGGAACAUAACUGACGCUGAGACGCGAAAGCGUGGGGAGCAAACAGG